UACAUUGUAGCCUACAUUGGAGCAGUUGCAUGCCUCGUGUGCAUGACGUCCUGGGUUCGAAUCCCAGCUGCGCCC